rnacentral:rRNA from 1 species
GAGUUUGAUCAUGGCUCAGGAUGAACGCUAGCGGGAGGCCUAACACAUGCAAGCCGAGCGGUAUUGUUUCUUCGGAAAUGAGAGAGCGGCGUACGGGUGCGGAACACGUGUGCAACCUGCCUUUAUCUGGGGGGAUAGCCUUUCGAAAGGAAGAUUAAUACUCCAUAAUAUAUUGAACGGCAUCGUUUAAUAUUGAAAGCUCCGGCGGAUAGAGAUGGGCACGCGCAAGAUCAGCUAGUUGGUGAGGUAACGGCUCACCAAGGCGAUGAUCUUUAGGGGGCCUGAGAGGGUGAUCCCCCGCACUGGUACUGAGACACGGACCAGACUCCUACGGGAGGCAGCAGUGAGGAUAUUGGUCAAUGGGUGCAAGCCUGAACCAGCCAUCCCGCGUGAAGGACGACUGCCCUAUGGGUUGUAAACUUCUUUUGUAUAGGGAUAAACCGUACCUCGUGAGGGUAGCUGAAGGUACUAUACGAAUAAGCACCGGCUAACUCCGUGCCAGCAGCCGCGGUAA